rnacentral:rRNA from 1 species
CACGCAGGUGGCUGAGUCAGUCGAUUGUGAAAGCCCUGGGCUUAACCUGGGAAUUGCAGUCGAUACUACUUAGCUAGAGUAUGGGAGAGGGCAGUGGAAUUCCCGGUGUAGCGGUGAAAUGCGUAGAUAUCGGGAGGAACAUCAGUGGCGAAGGCGGCUGCCUGGCCCAAUACUGACACUCAGGUGCGACAGCGUGGGGAGCAAACA